rfam:Lactobacillus ceti DSM 22408 NODE_32, whole genome shotgun sequence.
UGCGGUGACGCUAGCAAGAAGGACACACCUGUUCCCAUGCCGAACACAGAAGUUAAGCUUCUUAGCGCCGAAAGUAAUUGGGGGAUCGCCCCCUGUGAGGAUAGGACGUUGCCGUGC